GGGGCUGAUUUUGGAAUAGACAGCAAGAUUAUUUAUGAAGGAUAGCAUACCGUGUCACGUAAGGUAUUACACGUAAAUAAAAGCGUUACAAAUAUAUAAAUGGCGAAAAACAAUACGCUUUUGCUGCUUAAUGAAAUAUCAUUAUAGCUUAAUCUGUAAGAUACAGAAGUAAAAUAUCUCUCAGUAAUUUUUCUUAUAGUUUCUGAUAUAGAGGUACUCAAAAUAUAAGGAUUAGAAAAUGGAUGAUUCUAAAGUUUUCUAAUUAUAAUUUUGGAAUCUAGGAUUUUAUUUUGGAUCCAAAGUCCGAUUUUAAUCUGAAAAAAUAAGCUUUGGAUAAGUAUGUAGAAUUCCUUUAUAAUAUUUGUUUGGACACGGGUUCGAAUCCCGUCAGCUCCACUU
rfam:Blattabacterium sp. (Cryptocercus punctulatus) str. Cpu, complete genome.